rnacentral:rRNA from 1 species
CAGUCGCCGCGGUAAUACGAAGGGUGCAAGCGUUACUCGGAAUUACUGGGCAUAAAGCGUGCGUAGGUGGUGGUUUAAGUCCGUUGUGAAAGCCCUGGGCUCAACCUGGGAAUUGCAGUGGAUACUGGGUCACUAGAGUGUGGUAGAGGAUAGUGGAAUUUCCGGUGUAGCAGUGAAAUGCGUAGAGAUCGGAAGGAACAUCUGUGGCGAAGGCGACUAUCUGGGCCAACACUGACACUGAGGCACGAAAGCGUGGGGAGCAAACAGGAUUAGAUACCCCAGUAGUCCCUGUAUCUUAUAA